rnacentral:misc_RNA from 1 species
AAACACCCUCAGUUCUCUUUUUGAGAACUGGACUUGAGUCAUCCCAACGGUGGUUUCAGAACCACUGGCGGGUCGCUUGAAAUGCAGGUGCGGCUGGACACAUCUUCUGAGCUAUAAGCAUUACUUAUUUAAUCCCGUCAGACGGAUUAUUUCUACUGCUACAGCUAUAUAAGGUCGAUUGUCCGUUUGCCCGACUGAUGCAGAAAAAACAGAGAGAAAUCUUUGUUCAC